ACUCCUACGGGAGGCAGCAGUGGGAAUAUUGCACAAUGGGGAAAGCCAUCGAUGCAGCCAUGCCGCGCUGUGUGAAGAAGGCCAAUUCGGGCUUUGGUUAAAGACACUUUUCAGCGAGGAGGAAAGGGUGUGUGCUAAUACCAUACAUCUGUGACGUUACUCGCAGAAGAAGCACCGGCUAACUCCGUGCCAGCAGCCGCGGUAAUACGGAGGGUGCGAGCGUUAAUCGGAAUUACUGGGCGUAAAGCGUGCGCAGGCGGUUUGUUAAGCGAGAUGUGAAAGCCC
rnacentral:rRNA from 1 species